rnacentral:rRNA from 1 species
AGUGAACGCUGGCGGUAGGCCCAACACAUGCAAGUCGAACGGCAGCACAGUAAGAGCUUGCUCUUACGGGUGGCGAGUGGCGGACGGGUGAGGAAUACAUCGGAAUCUACUUUUUCGUGGGGGAUAACGUAGGGAAACUUACGCUAAUACCGCAUACGACCUACGGGUGAAAGCAGGGGAUCUUCGGACCUUGCGCGAUUGAAUGAGCCGAUGUCGGAUUAGCUAGUUGGCGGGGUAAAGGCCCACCAAGGCGACGAUCCGUAGCUGGUCUGAGAGGAUGAUCAGCCACACUGGAACUGAGACACGGUCCAGACUCCUACGGGAGGCAGCAGUGGGGAAUGUUGGACAAUGGGCGCAAGCCUGAUCCAGCCAUACCGCGUGGGUGAAGAAGGCCUUCGGGUUGUAAAGCCCUUUUGUUGGGAAAGAAAAGCAGCAGGUUAAUACCCCGCUGUUCUGACGGUACCCAAAGAAUAAGCACCGGCUAACUUCGUG